GUCACAGCUAGCUGGGGGUAUGUCCUUGCCAAUUGAGUUUGAGGGGUUACGUUUAAGUAUAUGGAAUGAGAUGAACAAGUUUUUAAGGUCUCAACCUCCCCUGCUUCAUACGGUUAACAUUAGGUUGCCUGAGGUGUCGUGCCCAUCGAGCGUGGAUAAGGUCGGCUGAUGGCGGGCAUUGGAAGGAAAUUAUUUUUAUGACGAGGGGGGAGGUGAGAGGAAGUCGCACAUAGGCGCAUGGUCAGUUUAUUGGCAAGGACGAUUGGGUUUGCUGUAUGACACUAUGUGUUAAGUUAUAUGUUAAUUUAUGGUUAUUCAUGUUUAAUGUUUUGGUUACAGAAAUGAAGAGAAAGUUAUUAAAUAAAUUAUGGAGGUGUCAUACAGUAUUUGUUGUAUGGUAUAAUAAAUGCUGUGGCCUGUUUCAUCCAUACUACGUUUUCUGUCUUUAUUUUGGAAGGGGGGGAUUUGGGCUGGUUUAUGUAUUAUACCGCAUCACAAUUCCCCACUACGUACAUACAUG